GGCGUGGCGAAAUGAGGAAGGACUGGACUGAGGCGGGGCGCGCGCGUGGGAAAGAUGGCGCUGCGUCUGCUGUGGAGAGGGCCACAUGGAACGCCGGCGGCGGCGCUGCUGAGGCUGAAACCAUUUUUGGCAGCUGAUGUGCCCAGGCUUGGAUAUAGUUCCUCAUCCAAUCACAGGUACAUUCCCCGGAGGGCAGUGCUCUAUGUACCUGGAAAUGAUGAAAAGAAAAUAAAGAAGAUUCCCUCCCUGAACGUAGAUUGUGCAGUGCUCGACUGCGAGGAUGGUGUGGCUAUGAACAAAAAGAAUGAAGCUCGACUGAGAAUAGUAAAAACUCUUGAAGACUUUGAUCUGGGCCCAACUGAAAAGUGUGUGAGAGUCAACUCGGUGUCCAGCAGCCUGGCCGAAGAGGACCUGGAGACCCUCCUGCAGUCCCGGGUCCUUCCCUCUAGCCUGAUGCUGCCAAAGGUGGAAGGUCCUGAAGAAAUUCAGUGGUUUUCAGACAAAUUCUCAUUCUACUUAAAAGGCCGAAAACUUGAACAACCUAUGAAUUUAAUCCCUUUUGUGGAAACUGCAAAGGGUUUGCUCAAUUUUAAGUCCGUGUGUGAAGAGGCACUAAAGACCGGACCUCAAGUGGGUCUUUUUCUAGAUGCAGUCGUUUUUGGAGGAGAAGACUUUCGAGCCAGCAUAGGUGCAACAAGUAGUAAAGAAACCCAAGAUAUUCUGUACGCCCGACAGAAGAUUAUUGUUACAGCGAAGGCCUUUGGUCUGCAGGCCAUAGAUCUGGUGUACAUCGACUUUCGAGAUAGAGAGGGGCUCCUCAGGCAGUCAAGGGAAGGAGCUGCGAUGGGAUUUACCGGUAAGCAGGUGAUACACCCUAACCAAAUUGUCGUGGUGCAGGAACAGUUUUCUCCUUCCCCCGAAAAAAUUAAGUGGGCUGAAGAACUGAUCGCUGCCUUUAAAGAACAUCAACAAUUAGGAAAGGUUAGUGGGCCUGAAGGAAAAGAAAGUAGGGAAAUUUCUCACCACUACCCUAGAGAGUAAAGAAUUCUGUCUACUGAAUCAUACCUCCCUGCAGCAUCUUGGACAGAAAUAGGGAGCCUUUACUUUCCAAGGGAGUAUGAUCGACAUGCCAUUACUGAAGCAAGCCCAGAACAUUGUUACGCUUGCCACAUCCAUCAAGGAAAAAUGAUCUGUUAAAUGAAGCUCUCAUCAGGUGGGCUGAACAUAUACAGUGGGUUUCUUAAAGACAAACCAUAAUACUCAAGGCAACUUGUUAGUAUGCCAGAUUGGAACCUUUCUCCCAUUUACAGUUCAUGUUAAUCACGAUUUGUGUGUGUGUGUUAUCUCACUGGCCAGUUAUUCCUCUAAAAAUGAACUUCUUCCUUUUUGGUUCCAAGCUUAUGACUUUAUUGCUCAUUAAUGUGUUACAAAUAUGCACUUAUGAUUUCACGGGAAGGUAAAAUAGUGGAGAGAGAUGGGCUGGAGGGAUGUGAGGUUUUUAAUGAAACAGAUCUUUCUCGAAUAUGUAUGCUCCCUUCACAUUUCUCACGUUAGAUGUUUCCCACAUUGUUCAUUACUCGACACUGUAAAUAAUUUAAGGCCAGUCUUAAAAAAUAGUCAUUAAAUGAAGGGGUUAUGUUUAUUUCACUAGAAAUCUGAUAAAAUGAGAGAUGGCAUAGAAAAGUUAAGUAUCGGAUAGCUUCUAAAAAUAAAUCUUCAAAACUGAUUUCUCUUAACCUCCAUCUCCCAAAAUGAAACAGCCAUACAUUUGAAUGGGUAGGUGAGAACUAUGAAAGCCCUCAUCCUGGGUGAAUGCUUUGGGUCAACAGUUACCAGCAAUUAAAAAAAAAAUGUGCAGAAACGCAAGACCAUCCAUUCUCUCCCUUAAUUUCCCCAUUUAACUGUUUGCCAUUGAGGCCACAUCCCCCUGUAAAUGUAUGGCCGGGACAGGGCCCCCCUCAGCAAUAAACUUGUAGCCUCUAAGAAGACACAAUGCGGCAGAGCUGGUGCAUAUGGUCCCCUGCGAGAUUUGCAUCACAUUAGAGAUGCUGCUGCAGGUCAUAUGGGCGGUGUGGUUAACGGGCUUAGUAAAGCUGUUUUGAAGAGGUUAACCCAGCUUGUAGGAAGGGUAAAUAAACAUAACAACCAGCCAUUCUUCCCUAUUCAGCGUGUGCUCUUAUACUGAAGGCUAAAGGGUAUUGAAGCUGGGAAGGAUCAACUUGUGUUUGCCAGAGGACGCCAAUGAAAUUUGAAACACCAACAAUCAGAGAUUUUGUUUCAGCUCCUCAUUAAAUCAUGAGCUUUUGUGUUGAGACUCUGGACGACUGUUCUUUAAGAAAUUAACAGAAUGGGAAGUUUUAAACUCUACACCAACCUUUUCAUGACCUACACAGCAGCAAAGCUGCUACUCUUAGACAAACACCGCGGGGAAGGCUGUUCUGUUUAUUUAAAUUUGUAAAUAGAAAACAGUUGUUUUUUUAUUUUCAUUUUUCACCCCUCCUACACCCUUGUUGUUUAUUUCCUCCGUGGCCCCUACUGUAUGGCCAGCCAGGGGUCUACUCUGCCCCUGCCUCUUCCAGUUCCUACAGGAAGUUGAGAGGGAAGUAGAGUUGAAGGUUAUACAAGGAAAGACGCCAUGGAACUCAAGCAGAGUGGGAGAGGCCCACACACCGUCCUGCAACACCCGCCCACCCAGUGCACUGAAGGAAGGGGAUGAUUCAGUUCUGACAGGCAGGCAGGGAAGGAACUGGAUCCAGGCAGGAUGGUUCUGAGGAAACACAUUCUUGAAACACCAACUAAUAAUCCCAGACCUGGGAUCUGAGUAGACAGCUCUUAAAUGGGGAUGGGAUGUGCUAAGCUGGGGUCCUGGCCUGCGUUGGUGGUGGGUCUCCUCUCCUCUGUGCACCCCUCUCUCUAGCCCCUCAUGAGAGCAUUGUCACUUUUCACCUUGGUCGUCCUGUGCUGCCCCCAAGUUAGCUGGAAAGGAAGGUAGAAGCUAGCCCCAUCCUCACAUGGAGCGGCUGGAAGGAGGAGGAUGGCAUCUCAGCCAAUGUGGGAAGACUGGCCUCCCAUCAGACUGGGCUUCAGGCCUGCAGAUAGGGGCAGCAGGCAGCAGUCACAGGAGAGGCAGCACCCACCACCACCACUGUUGUCGCAGCUGUGUGUCGUAGGCUGGCAGCCAGGUGUGCACUGGGGUGAUCCAAGACGGUAGACCUGGUUCAGACCCCUCUGCUCAGAACACACAGACACAGGGGGACUGCUCAGAAGGCAGAAAGCAAAGGGAGGCCUCAUCUUAUCCUGACCUGUCCCUUACACACACCUCCUCCUCAGGGUGUUAGAACUAGCCUACACUGUGCCUGUCUUACAAGAAGAAAAUAAAAGCCUUCCUUCU